UACAGAGGUCUCAAGCGUUGUUCGGAUUCAUUGGGCGUAAAGGGUGUGUAGGUGGCGCUGUAAGUCGGGUGUGAAAUUUCGGAGCUUAACUCCGAAACUGCAUUCGAUACUGCGGUGCUUGAGGACUGGGGAGGAGACUGGAAUUCAUGGUGUAGCAGUGAAAUGCGUAGAGAUCAUGAGGAAGACCAGUGGCGAAGGCGGGUCUCUGGGCAGUAACUGACGCUGAGGAGCGAAAGCGUGGGGGAGCGAACAGG
rnacentral:rRNA from 1 species